rnacentral:misc_RNA from 1 species
CAGUUAAUGCAUACCUAUGCAGCACAAUAACACAAAAUCAAAUACAGAAAUGAGCAUAACAAAAUUAAAUAUAGAAAUGAAAUACAUGUGUAAUUUGGCAUCAACAUAACAAAUUAACAUUACAUUUGGACAGAGGGAUUUAAGUUGAGAUAUUUAAACUGAUAAUACAUACAUUUUCCUUCGAUUGAAAUACCAACAAAGAUUCUUUAAAAAAAAAGAAAAAGAAGGCAUAAUUUCAAAUCUACCUCAAAUAGGUUAUCAAUCACAUUAACAAAUCUAAUCAAUCAAAAAAAGGGGCUCACUUUCAUCC